ACUGGCUGUAGUUUCGGGUCUGGG
rnacentral:siRNA from 1 species